UUUUGCCGAUCUCACACAAAAAAAAAAGCUAGUACUACUUGCCUAGGUUUUAUACAUACUAGUAGAAAUUGAUGCUGUUUCGUUGUUUCCAUUUCCUGAUUUGGUUUUGGUCAAGCGGUUUGUUGUAGCAGUAGUCCUCCAUAAAAGCGAGCCGGCCUUGUUGGUGGUGGAAAGCCAUUUUCUUUUCUUCGUCGAUGCACAUGGUUGCUAAAAGAUUCAUCAGGGUAUGAUUGGCAUCCGUCCAGCUCAUCGUAGUUCCUGGCUAAGGAUAACGUAUAACAAGCCGGGACGCCAUGGGAAGGCAUCCAGCCCAGCCAUCAAGGGCUUCCACCACCAAGCGAUCCAGAUUAUCCAUUUCCUGGCGUAGCACCUCCACCAACCGGGGCAAUUCAUCAGACGACGCACGGCACGCACCGCAUCGUCUUCCCGAGACGCAAGUGCAGUGCGAGGCCGGGAAUUUUCUGCGGGCAUCUUCUCUUCCCUGCGGACGUGACGUGCGGCAUGUGAUCCAAGCGAUUCUGGGGUGGAUUCAUUUCCCGGGAAGCCGUCUAUUUCCCCAUCAAUACGUCGAGACGGCAUGGCAACGUCGGGAUGGUUACGCGCAGCGGCACGCUUGUUUACUGCUGACCGGGGGCUGAUUAGGACGGCGCGCACGGUGCACCCCGGAUCUUUUUGUUGGAUUCCCAAGUGGAACUCUCGGGAUUUUUCGCGCUGGAUUGAUUCACCCGCUCCGGACCCGAAACGAGCGGCUCUGUUGCUCAAGAGCGGCUCAGUGUUCCAUCUUUUUUUAGUGCUGUAGAGAGAAAAUAUAAUGUGUUUUGUUUUUCUAUACAAGUUUGAAAAAGUCUCCCACGUA